UGCUGAUAAGUACUACCAUCUAACAAAAGGCAAUGUCGGACUUCCAACACAGGACAAAAUCUGAGAUGAUUCUAAGAGCGUUUAAAAAUCACAGCAAAACAUGGCAUCACUUGCUUCGGCACAACCGCGAAAGCCAAGUUGCAGGAGCAGUACAGCUUUAUGGACACGACAAUGGACGAUCUAAUGGCCACAUUUUCUCAAAAUCUGAUAUCAGACCUGGAGGCAGCAGAUGACACACCUACCUCACGCACAAGCAGAGUGUUGGCACACGUCAUCUUUGAAAGCCAACAGAUGCGUUCCUAUCGAGAAGUGGAAACUGCACCAGUUCAGCCCUCCUGGCUUGUGGAUUCAUCAAUUACAAUGGGAGCUGAAGAACUUUGAAAGUUCAAGAUCCCAACAUUGCAAGAACAUUUGUGUUAAUUGUUGAAGAAUUAGUUCCAAUGUUAAUUAGUUUCGACACAGCAUAUGUAGAUUCUGUUAAAAAAGCUACAAAACCUAGAAUGUAUGUUUCGUAAAUCCAUAACUCCAGAAUAAUUAAUUCUGCUUUGCACUCAAUUUUGGUUUACAACAUCAUUGCCCAAAGUAGUAAACACAAAACACUAUGACCUAACUCAUUUUAAUUACAUGUAGAACCAGAGUUGAAAAAAUAGUUUUUGUAAAACUUCAAAUGUAUAUGUAUUAGACAUGAAUAUUUCCCAAUCAUUACCAUAUAUUUCAAAGAGAGUGCAAACUAUUUUAAUAAUUUGGAUAUAUCAACAAAGUUGAAAUGGUAAAUUGGC